rnacentral:rRNA from 1 species
GAUGAACGCUGGCGGCGUGCCUAAUACAUGCAAGUCGAGCGAACAGACGAGGAGCUUGCUCCUCUGACGUUAGCGGCGGACGGGUGAGUAACACGUGGAUAACCUACCUAUAAGACUGGGAUAACUUCGGGAAACCGGAGCUAAUACCGGAUAAUAUAUUGAACCGCAUGGUUCAAUAGUGAAAGACGGUUUUGCUGUCACUUAUAGAUGGAUCCGCGCCGCAUUAGCUAGUUGGUAAGGUAACGGCUUACCAAGGCAACGAUGCGUAGCCGACCUGAGAGGGUGAUCGGCCACACUGGAACUGAGACACGGUCCAGACUCCUACGGGAGGCAGCAGUAGGGAAUCUUCCGCAAUGGGCGAAAGCUUGACGGAGCAACGCCGCGUGAGUGAUGAAGGUCUUCGGAUCGUAAAACUCUGUUAUUAGGGAAGAACAAAUGUGUAAGUAACUAUGCACGUCCUGACGGUACCUAAUCAGAAAGCCACGGCUAACUACGU